CACGUAGGGGGCGAGCGUUGUCCGGAUUCAUUGGGCGUAAAGCGCGCGCAGGCGGCUCGGAAAGUCGGGUGUGAAAUCUCGGAGCUUAACUUCGAAACUGCAUUCGAUACUGCCGUGCUUGAGGACUGGAGAGGAGACUGGAAUUUACGGUGUAGCGGUGAAAUGCGUAGAUAUCGUAAGGAAGACCAGUGGCGAAGGCGGGUCUCUGGACAGUUCCUGACGCUGAGGCACGAAGGUCAGGGGAGCAAACGGG
rnacentral:rRNA from 1 species